rnacentral:tRNA from 1 species
GCCUGGCUGGCUUAGUCAGUAAAGCAUGUGACUCGCAAUCUCGGGGUCAUGAGUUUGAGUCCCACGUUGGGUG